rnacentral:rRNA from 1 species
GAUGAACGCUGGCGGCGUGCCUAAUACAUGCAAGUCGAGCGAACAGACGAGGAGCUUGCUCCUCUGACGUUAGCGGCGGACGGGUGAGUAACACGUGGAUAACCUACCUAUAAGACUGGGAUAACUUCGGGAAACCGGAGCUAAUACCGGAUAAUAUAUUGAACCGCAUGGUUCAAUAGUGAAAGACGGUUUUGCUGUCACUUAUAGCUGCAUCCGGGCCGCAUUGGCUAGUUGGUACGGUAACGGCUUACCACGGCGACGAUGCGUAGCCGACCUGAGAGGGGGGUCGGCGACACGAGAAGUGAGACGCGGUCCAGGCUCCUGAGGGAGGGAGCAGUAGGGAAUGGUACGCAGUGGGCGGGAGCAUGGCAGAGCGACGCCGCGUGAGUGAUGAAGAUCUUCGGAUCGUAAAGCUCUGUUAUUGGGGAAGAACAGAUGUGGAAGGAACUGAGCACGUAUUGACGGUAACUAGUCAGAAAGCAACGGCUAACUACGUG